GGGGGGGGGGGGGGGGGGGGGGGGGGGGGGGGGGGGGGGGGGGGGGGGGGGGCGUGGGGGUGGGGGCGGGGGCGGGGGGGGGAGUGAGGCCUGGGAAGCUGCCUGGUAGUGGGGGAUAACGUCCGGGAACGGGCGCUAAUACCGCAUACGUCCUGAGGGGGAAAGUGGGGGGGCUUCGGACCUCACGCUAUCAGAUGAGCCUAGGUCGGAUUAGCUAGUUGGUGGGGUAAAGGCCUACCAAGGCGACGAUCCGUAACUGGUCUGAGAGGAUGAUCAGUCACACUGGAACUGAGACACGGUCCAGACUCCUACGGGAGGCAGCAGUGGGGAAUAUUGGACAAUGGGCGAAAGCCUGAUCCAGCCAUGCCGCGUGUGUGAAGAAGGUCUUCGGAUUGUAAAGCACUUUAAGUUGGGAGGAAGGGCAGUAAGUUAAUACCUUGCUGUUUUGACGUUACCAACAGAAUAAGCACCGGCUAACUUCGUG
rnacentral:rRNA from 1 species